AGAAUAACCCAAAAUAUGGAGUAGAACUGCCACAGAAAUACUUGGCUGAUGAGUUUCUUUGGAACGAUGACGAUUUAUACCUCAAGGCGGUAAUAUACAGUACCGUGAAGAAUUUCGCAAAAUUUACUCCAGAUACUUCCGUCAGAUUGUCCAAGACGAUGGUUUUGACAUUGACGUAUACCCCGGUAAUGCUAAGGCAGCUAUAUAUCUACCAUAUCUGGAUUUCGAGACAGAGGUUGACAUGCUAACGGAACUAGCUAACCAUGCUAUUGAAGAAUUUAACAAAAGUAGUCUCUAUGCAUCUUUGCUCUAUUUGUGAAUCCUCUCGCAAUAUCAUGAGAUGGUUUGUGUGUGCAGUAAGAUGGCUGGUUUGAAAGGUGAAUGAAGAUUAAGUGACCAAAGAUGCAUGAAAAGAGGCACUUGAACCAUAAUUUUGGUAUUCAACUGUGUAAUUAAAUUGGUUAACUUUGAUGUGACCUUCUUAUUAUAUUAGUUAUAGAAGUAUCAGAUAGCUCUUAGGUAUGAUCUAGUCGUCUAAACAUUAAUGAGUUGUGGCACUGGUUUAUUAUGGUAGGGUAAAGAGAGAUUCACCUACAAUUCG